rnacentral:rRNA from 1 species
UACGUAGGGGGCAAGCGUUGUCCGGAUUUAUUGGGCGUAAAGAGCGUGUAGGCGGCCUGACAGGUCUGCUGUGAAAACUCGAGGCUCAACCUCGAGACGUCGGCGGAAACCAUCUGGCUAGAGUCCGGAAGAGGAGAGUGGAAUUCCUGGUGUAGCGGUGAAAUGCGCAGAUAUCAGGAGGAACACCGGUGGCGAAGGCGGGACCUGGGCCAGUACUGACGCUGAGGAGCGAA